AACGAACGUUAGCGGCGCGCCUAACACAUGCAAGUCGUGCGAGAAAGGGCUUCGGCCCCGGUAAAGCGGCGCACGGGUGAGUAACACGUAGGUAACCUACCCCUUGGUGGUGGAUAACCUUCCGAAAGGAGGGCUAAUACAGCAUGAGACCACGAUGUCGUAAGAUGUUGAGGUCAAAUCGGGCCUCUAUAUAUAAACUCGAGCCGAGGGAUGGGCCUGCGGCCCAUCAGCUAGUUGGUAGGGUAAUGGCCUACCAAGGCAAAGACGGGUAGCUGGUCUGAGAGGAUGAUCAGCCACACUGGAACUGAGACACGGUCCAGACUCCUACGGGAGGCAGCAGUGGGGAAUCUUGCGCAAUGGGGGAAACCCUGACGCAGCGACGCCGCGUGAGUGAUGAAGGCCUUCGGGUUGUAAAGCUCUGUGGAGAGGGACGAAUAAGUGUGGUCGAAUAGGCCGCAUGAUGACGGUACCUUUUUAGCAAGCACCGGCUAACUCUGUGCCAGCAGCCGCGGUAAGACAGAGGGUGCAAACGUUGUUCGGAAUUACUGGGCGUAAAGCGCGUGUAGGCUGCUUGGAAAGUCGGAUGUGAAAGCCCCAGGCUCAACCUGGGAACUGCAUCCGAUACUGCAAGGCUU
rnacentral:rRNA from 1 species